ACGAAAUACAUCGAAAUAUGAGACGAAAUACAAUUUAUAUCUAUUUAUAUCUAUUAAUAAGGCAACCCAAAUGAAUAGUGAUGCCACCCUUUAAUUGGACCGCCUUUUUAAAAACCUAUGGCUUCUAUCAACAACCCACCGCAUAGGAUAGAGAGAGUCAGGGAAAACCCACUAAAAGAGUAAACUCCACCGCGUAGGAGAGAGAGACACAGGAGAAAGUGGAACCAAGUCAGAUGCUGCUGAUGACGACGAUAGUGGAAGUAUACAACUGAGACAAACACACGAGAGUCAGUUCUGGGAAGCCGGAAACGAGGGAGAUGACCGGCAGUCUAAAGUUUUGCCGCCGGUUGCCGCAUGUGAGAUAGCCACGCAAUUUCAGGCCUGAUUGGGGCUCCAAUCGAAGGUAGGCAUCUGAUUAGGGCUCCAAUUUCAGUUCAGAAUGACAAGGUAAGAGUUAUAAUUUCUUGAUUUUGAUAUGUGAAAUGGGUUGGUUCUUUUUUAUGGGGUUGGGUAUUGUAAGCAAGGUGUUCGAUGAAAGUCCUGAUUGAGUGAGGAGUUUAAGAAAUCAUUAAAAAAGGAUUAUCUUCUUUGAUGUUCAUCUUCAUGGUUUUACUAUGUGUUUGCUGGGGAGAUUUCUUGCUUUUUAUUCUUAUAAAUUGAAUCUUGGAGUUUGAUAGCUUAGUUUUCUAUGAACUAUUUGAUGCAUUUACAUAUGGGUAUGGUUAAGCAAAGCUUCAAGAUCAACAUAAUAUUUGAGCAAUAUCUUAACUUGACAGACUUUUAGUAACCCAAGGGUUUUAUUUGGUUUAUCUUUCUAUUACUUGGUAAGACCAAACACAUUACCUUUAUGCACAGUUUAUCCAAAUACCCAUAGAUUAUAGUGGCUGUGUGGAAACAACAGUAACUCCUGUUUUCACCAGAUUAUGCAGAGGCUAAGGAUGGUGGCAAUUAAAGACGAAAGGUAAAUAAACUACAUAAUUGAACUCUUUAUGAGUUAUGGCUCCGCUAAAUGUUAUAUUUACCAACCGAUAACAUUGAGAUAACAGUCUGAAACUACCAAAGGUGCUGGAUUGAUUCUCUGUCAUACCAUUAACCAGAUUCAACCAAUGACCGUCCCAACGAAUAGUCUUCUGAUCCUAGGCGUCCACAUGUGCGGCUGAGAUUACCCCACAUGUUUAACUCUUUUUUACCCAUUUAAGCGACAUUUGUCUUUUAAUCCUUUUUGAACUUCGCAGAAGAGAGAGGAGAACGAGAAGAAAGAGGAAAAAUUGAGAGAGGAGAGACAAAGGGUGGUCAGCAUCGUCACACCACCACCACUACGAUUAUAAUCUGGUGUCUCACUUGCGAUGGAAUGGCGGAAGUGGUCCAUCUAGGAGUGAUGGUUUUGACAAGUCCUGAUCCGGAGAUGGCUGUUCAGUGUUUUGUGUGUCGGCGGGUGAUAGAUGCUUCUCCGUAGACAGAUUCGGUGCAUUUGCAAAGUCACAGUUUAUCACCUAGGGUUUUGAAAUACAAAUUUCAGGUCGUCGUACUCUUUAUAUGAAUAUUUUGCAUAAACUGUGUGACUUUGCUCUGGCUUGAAUUUGACAUAAAAAAUGCAAUAGGUAUUGACACGUUCAAAAGAUAUGAUAAUUAUCCAAAUGCAUGCUCUAAAUGUUUACAAGUAACCAUAUAUCAAAUAUAUUCAUAAUUUCCUUAUGUUUAACAAAAUUAAGCAUACCAUCUAUACCUAAUUUCAUCUUUGGAUCAACCGUAAGUAAAAGGGGGUUAAGUGGAUCAUGAUGGUGGUGGUAGACUACAUGUUAUCAAUUCUGCCUGUGUCUGCUAGAUGGGAGUGUAUAACCUUUUUGGCAUCUCGGCUUAAGCGCAUCUAAGCUCAUACAUCAUAUUGAGCAUGUGCAUGGUUGAUGGUACGCGAUUGGCUUAUGAAUUUCCGAUUUAAUAUAUUUUUUUUAAGUGGAUGUUAACGGACUUCAAACUCAUCUCUUCAGAUUAUUCUUAGGUAUGUGUAUUUGUGGGUAUGUCUAUUUUAAGUACUUCCAUUCAUUUUUGUUUCACACAGUUUCUUUACCAUGAUGAAGUUAAUUUUCUCCGGUUUUGUGCAGGUGAAGAAGGGGAUAUGUAGGGCUGUAAACGAGCCGAGUCGAGCCGAGCUAGACCCAGCUCGAGCUCGGCUCGAACUGAUUCGAGUUGGCUAGGCUCGAGCUCGAAGUUCAAAUCGAGCUGAGAUUUGAGGCUCGAGCUCGACUCGAGUAAAAUUCGAGCUAGUUCGGCUCGAUCUAGCUCAAACUAACAAAAACCGCAAAAUUUACUACUUAAAAAGCCCUUAAAAAUGAAUUUCUUCAUAGACUAAGGGACAUAAUUGCCAUUUUAUUUAACCAUAUGGUUAAAUGUGCAAGUAUAAAUAGUUAAUUCACUUUGUACAUUGUCUUUACCUUCUUUUCUUUUAUAGGAGAAAUACUCGUUUAGUUUUUGUUUUCCAAGCGAUGUGGGACAAAAAAAUGAAGGAUUUAAACCUUAUCGAGCCAGCUCACGAGCCGAGCCAGACCAAGCUCGAGCUCGGCUCGUUUACAAACCGAGCCGAGCCGAGCCGAGCCGGCUCGUUAACAACCGAGCCAAUUUCGAGCCGAGCUUUCUUCGAGCGAGCUGCGAGUCACGAGUAUUUUGAACACCCCUAGGAAUAUGGGCUUCUUUUAUAAACUUUUCUGCUGUUGUACCAUGAUAAUGUGUCAAGGUUUGUGGAUCAAUGAUGACAAAAGAGCAGCCACAUGCAAUGCUGAUACCCAUUGGAUAUUUUCUAAUAAGGUAUGGGCUUUAUAAGCCGAGCCUGUUCCCUAGCCAGCCCUAGAAGCCCAGCCCAUCAUCGAUUGCCCCAGAAUAAGUAACGAUUCUGAAACCCGAAAAGAAACAAGAAUAACCCAUGAAGCCCAAAAAAGGUCCCCAAAUGGAACGGGUAUCAAGUGCUAGGCUUAGAAAUGAUUCAAUCUUACAAAUAAAAACUGGGCCUCUAAAGGAAUUUCUCACUUUGGGGAAGAAAUUAGGCCAAGUGCAAUUUGGUACAACUUUUCUUUGUAUAGAAAAGUCAACCGGUCAACUACAUGCUUGCAAAUCGAUUACAAAAGAAAAGUUGACCGAAAAAGAUCAAAUAAUGCAUCAUUUGGUGGAUCACCCGAAUGUUAUAGCAAUGAAAGGGGCUUAUGAGGAUGCAAUCGCGGUUCAUAUUAGGAAUUAUGUGUGGGUGGCGAGCUUUUUGAUAGGAUUAUUCAAAUUGGACAUUAUACUGAAAAAAGACGUCUGAGCAUACAAGAACGAUUGUUGGCGUUGUAGAAGCAUGUCAUUCUUUAGGUGUUAUGCUUACGGAUUUAAAGCCUGAAAAAAUCUUGCUUGUGGAUAAGAAAGAAUAGAUUGCUGAUGCAAGAAAAAAUGUUUGUUCUUUUUGUUUUUAAGAUUGAAGACCAGCGACAACCACCCUUAAAAUAGCAACACUCCAACGACUAGAUACAGGAAAUAAGAGCUUAGAAAGAGGUUAGAAAAAGAAAAAAAAGCGGCUAGCAUAAGGAAGCUAGAGAUGAAGAGGAACAUGUUUGUAUUAAUGCACAAGUAAUCAAGCACAAAUGAACGUGUCAUCAAACCAUGAACGAUUCGGUUUUGUGCACGGGCGUUAUGUUAUUAAACCGUUCAAAUUCGGCUUUGCGCGCCGCAACGCGUGCGGAGAAAAAAACUAGUUAAUAUAAAGAAGUAACUUCGAAACAGGAUGUUCUCAUUGUCCACGUCGAAACAUAAAUAAAUAAUAGUGACAUCAUCAUCAUCAUCGAAAUACCCAAGAGGUUUGAUUCCAUCGAAAUAGGCUUGGAAUCACCUUAUAAGUAUUUAAAUGGCCUUGUCCAAUUCUAAAUA